AUACGGAGGGUGCGAGCGUUAAUCGGAAUUACUGGGCGUAAAGCGUACGUAGGCGGUUGGGUAAGUUAGAUGUGAAAGCCACGGGCUUAACCUGGGAACUGCAUUUAAAACUGGCGAACUAGAGUUGAGUAGAGGGGAGUGGAAUUUCAGGUGUAGCGGUGAAAUGCGUAGAGAUCUGAAGGAACACCAGUGGCGAGGCGACUCCCUGGACUCGAACUGACGCUGAGGUACGAAAGCGUGGGUAGCAAACGGGAUUAGAUACCCUAGUAGUCC
rnacentral:rRNA from 1 species